AAGGAAAAAUCAGCACUAAUACACCAGAUUCUAUCAGAACUCCGUAGUUAAGCGUGCUUAGGCGAGAGUGUACUAGAACGAGUGACCCCCUAGAAAGUCCUCAUGUUGCACCCC